rnacentral:rRNA from 1 species
CCUACGGGCGGCAGCAGUGAGGAAUAUUGGUCAAUGGGCGCUAGCCUGAACCAGCCAAGUAGCGUGAAGGAUGACUGCCCUAUGGGUUGUAAACUUCUUUUAUAUGGGAAUAAAGUGCAGUAUGUAUACUGCUUUGCAUGUACCUUAUGAAUAAGGAUCGGCUAACUCCGUGCCAGCAGCCGCGGUAAUACGGAGGAUCCGAGCGUUAUCCGGAUUUAUUGGGUUUAAAGGGAGCGUAGAUGGGUUGUUAAGUCAGUUGUAAAAGUUUGCGGCUCAACCGUAAAAUUGCAAUUGAUACUGGCAGCCUUGAGUACAGUUGAGGUAGGCGGAAUUCGUGGUGUAGCGGUGAAAUGCUUAGAUAUCACGAAGAACUCCGAUUGCGAAGGCAGCUUACUAAACUGCCACUGACAUUGAUGCUCGAAAGUGUGGGUAUCAAACAGGAUUAGAUACCCUGGUAGUC